rnacentral:rRNA from 1 species
CUUAAGAGCAUUCGGUGGAUGCCUUGGCGCUGAGAGGCGAUGAAGGACGUGGUACGCUGCGAUAAGCCUUGGGGAGCUGCGAACGAGCUUUGAUCCAGGGAUUUCCGAAUGGGGGAACCCAACAGGUACUACCUGUUACCCGCAUCUGUUAAGGAUGUGAGGAGGAAGACGCAGUGAACUGAAACAUCUAAGUAGCUGCAGGAAGAGAAAGCAAAAGCGAUUGCCUUAGUAGCGGCGAGCGAAACGGCAGGAGGGCAAACCGAAGAGUUUACUCUUCGGGGUUGUAGGACUGCAAUGUGGACUCAAAGAUUAUAGAAGAAUGGUUUGGGAAAAUCAGCCAAAGAGAGUGAUA